rnacentral:rRNA from 1 species
GGGAAAAGCCCAGCACCGAAUCCCGCGGCCGUCUUACGCGUUGUCGCCGGGAAAUGUGGUGUUAGGGAGGAUCCAUUAUCCCGAGGUCGUGCGGUGCGUCCAAGUCCUUCUUGAACGGGGCCACUUACCCAUAGAGGGUGCCAGGCCCGUAGCGAUCGCCGCCGACAGCGGGAGGAUCUCUCCUCAGAGUCGGGUUGCUUGAGAGUGCAGCCCUAAGUGGGUGGUAAACUCCAUCUAAGGCUAAAUAUAACCACGAGACCGAUAGCGAACAAGUACCGUGAGGGAAAGUUGAAAAGAACUUUGAAGAGAGAGUUCAAUAGUACGUGAAACCGUUCAGGGGUAAACCUGAGAAACCCGAAAGGUCGAAUGGGGAGAUUCAGCGUGUCUCGUCCGCCCCGGAGCGUUGGACGCUCGAGACGGUCGUGCCGGUGGCCCUCGCGGUCGCCGGCCGGUCGCUCCGUUCUCGCUCCGUGUGUCGGGGUGACGAACGCGUGCACUUCUCCCCUAGUAGGACGUCGCGACCCGUUGGGCGCAGGCCUAAGGAUCGGGGUGGAGACCGAGUGGCGCCUUCGGGCUGUUUCCGUUCGGACCCCCGUCUCCCGGCCUGCCCGCCCGACGGUACAACAGUGGCGCGGGGCCGCGAUCUUACGAUACGCGUCCGGCCCGUCGCAAGUGCUUGCGGAUAUCCGGUGGGCGUCUGAGGACUCGUGCCUCGACUUCACCGGACCCGCUCGACUGCUGGCGACGGUGUCCUCGGACAGACUCCGUUUUAUACGCCCGUCGGCGACGCUUUAGCUUUGGGUACUUUCAGGACCCGUCUUGAAACACGGACCAAGGAGUCUAGCAUGUGCGCGAGUCAUUGGGACUUAGCGAAACCUAAAGGCGUAAUGAAAGUGAAGGCCGUGCCUAGCGCGCGUUGCCUAGGGAGGAUGUGCAGGACGACGUUUCCGCGCCGCACUCCCGGGGCGUCUCGUGCUCAUCGCGAGCUGAGGCGCACCCAGAGCGUACAUGCUGGGACCCGAAAGA